CGUUAACUGCUUUCAGCAGAAUUCACAUUAACAGGAUCACCACGAUCAUAGACUUGCCCAGGUGCUGCCUGACCUGCUCCGCAUUCCCAGUUUUCCGUUUUGAUUUCCUAACUGAAAUCUCAUGGCUGGCAGAAUGUCAGGGUAUAAA